GACGAACCGUCCGAACGUUAUUCGGAAUCACUGGGCUUAAAGGGUGCGUAGGCGGCGCGGAAAGUUGGGUGUGAAAGCCCUCGGCUCAACCGAGGAAUUGCGCCCAAAACUGCUGCACUAGAGGAAGACAGAGGUACGCGGAACUUAGGGUGGAGCGGUGAAAUGCGUUGAUAUCCUAAGGAACACCGGUGGCGAAAGCGGCGUACUGGGUCUUAUCUGACGCUGAGGAGCGAAAGCCAGGGGAGCAAACGGG
rnacentral:rRNA from 1 species